CUUCCACCUCUUACUUUCACCUCAGUGGUAGUUCUCCUCCCGUGCAAAUAAAACAAAUGCAGUGUGGUGAGCAUCAAUGGGUCUGAAAAUUCAAGAAGUGUUUUUAGCAAUGGGAAAAAAAAAUUUAAACAACUUCAGGUGACGCUUACAGUUCCUGAAAAUGCAAGUAUCAACUAAUGGAAGCCAAAGGAACAAAAUGCUUUAUUGCCUACCUGAGAAAACCUGAAGAUUUGUUCCUCAAAAAAGGAAAAAAUAUAACUCCUUAAGUGGCACUUGGAAUUAUCCCCCCCGAUCUACAAACUUGGCAGUGCAGGUGCUGUAUCCAAGUACUUGACAAACCAUCUGGUCAGGCCUCAAAUGAACAGCUUCUGGCACGGAAGGGAAGCUUGAGUUCGAGGGUCUCUGCGGGAUCUCUCUCCCGAGCUCCAUCUGCUGCAGCGAGUACAGGAGAUUUCCCCAUCUGGUCCAGCCUACUUCAAAGGCGCUCCCCACCCUGGCGUAGUUUCCAAGCAAGAUAUCAUACAUGGGAUAAGAUCCGGCUCAUCCUUGCUUCUCAUCUCCUCUGCCCCAAAACAGAAGAAUCCAUUUAGCAGUUUGAUUUCACAAUAAAAUGCAAAGUCACC